AGUGAGCGCUGGCGGUAGGCCUAACACAUGCAAGUCGAACGGCAGCACAGUAAGAGCUUGCUCUUACGGGUGGCGAGUGGCGGACGGGUGAGGAAUACAUCGGAAUCUACUUUUUCGUGGGGGAUAACGUAGGGAAACUUGCGCUAAUACCGCAUACGACCUACGGGUGAAAGCAGGGGAUCUUCGGACCUUGCGCGAUUGAAUGAGCCGAUGUCGGAUUAGCUAGUUGGCGGGGUAAAGGCCCACCAAGGCGACGAUCCGUAGCUGGUCUGAGAGGAUGAUCAGCCACACUGGAACUGAGACACGGUCCAGACUCCUACGGGAGGCAGCAGUGGGGAAUAUUGGACAAUGGGCGCAAGCCUGAUCCAGCCAUACCGCGUGGGUGAAGAAGGCCUUCGGGUUGUAAAGCCCUUUUGUUGGGAAAGAAAAGCAGCAGGUUAAUACCCCGCUGUUCUGACGGUACCCAAAGAAUAAGCACCGGCUAACUUCGUG
rnacentral:rRNA from 1 species